UUCUACCCAAGAUUUACUGCAUCGAGGAACAACAUCUCUAUAUAUGUAAACUCAUAGCUGUGAUUCUUUGCUGUUUUUUUAAAUUUCAUAAUUCCGAAAAAAGCCGUAAUAUCACGACAAUAAAUUAGUAGUCAUUUGGACAAUUGAAAAUUCCCACACGAACCUAAACGCAACAAUCUGAGACCAGGAGAGGUCGACAGUACUGUACUAUUACAAUUAAUUGAAAUAUAUAUUGAUAUUACUAGGUUAAAUAUUUGUCAAAACACGUUUUGUUUGAACAAAAAUAAAAAUAACAACAAACAAAUAAAGCCUUACAUUUUCGAAGCAGUCAAAAACACGGCGCAGUACGAAUACUGACCAAUAGAGGACAGCAGAGAACCAUGUGUUCCAUUUAACAGUAUGAAUGGGUGACCUUCAAGGCACAUUCGUAGUUUGUUUGUUAAAUAAUGUUUAUUGAUACGGUUGUAGUUUGCAAUGGUGUACAAUUAUGAAACUAAUAACCUAUAUUAUAAUAACAAACAGUAGAGUUUCUGCCUACUUUUGUGCAAAAUAGAAAACCCACACGUAAUGUAUGCAAUUUAGUCCCAGCCAUUUGUGUUUAGAUUCAUUUUCGGGGUUUUCAACAUCUAUAUGUCGUACACCCAAAAACUACUAGUUAGUUUUGGGAUUUAUUUAAUGCAACAAAAUGUAAGAUGUGUAUUUUGCUAUAUAUACUGUGGAAAUAUAAAGAAAAUACGAUUAUGCAGCGGGGGCAGUAUUCAUGUGGAACCUUAUUACGGGAGCUGUUCUGCCAGGAUUGUAUUAGGUGUGACCUUCCGCCAACACCCCAGUGCAAUUUAGACGAAAACCUGGAGCUUCGUGUCCUUAUUGCUGUCAGUUUCUGUUCCUACAGGGCUUUGGAAACUUUGGAGGGAUAUUGGUAGUCUUCGACCACGUUUUCGGCGGCCAUUUUGGGUUCGGAUGACCAUCAUACCUUGUCUCACAGGCAGAAGAGGACUCCUCCGCCCAGCAUGAAGAUGGUGGCUCCCCAGCCGAGGCCGUAGCCCCAGUUGAACUCAUGAUACGUCUGCAGGACUGUCCCGUCUAUGAAUUUGAUGGGGUACAAGACUAGAGCGCAGGCCUGCAGCACAACUGGGGGGGAAAAAUACACCAAAGUCAGAUUUUAAACCGAGUAGGUUGCAUACACUCUACAUUCCGAAGCCAAAACACACAAAUUAUACAGUAACGUGUAGAUUAUUUUUAUACGAUCAAUCCAGAGUGCACGCUGCCUCUCACCCGAAGUCAGCUGGGACACAUUUAAAAUGGAAGGGAAAGGGAAAUUUGCAUAUUUUGCAUGACAAGCCCAGUCAGGGUGCAUGCUGUAUUGACCUCGACAGAGAAGGAAGCUUCCAUCAUUGUGAGUCAUUUUCCUUCAGUGAAGGCUUUGCGGCUCUUGAGGACUUUAGUGUGACUUCUCCGCCUUUCCUUCCGCCCACAUGGAGCGGCGGCCCACAAGAAUGCAACCGAUGGAGCCCAGACCGAGCUGAGGUCAUAUUUCUGGACAGAAAAUAAAUACCACACAAGCCUGCCAAGGGGCAUUUUACGGGGGUCCAAAAUGCUGUGCUCCUGCUCUGGCUGUGCACCAUGCGCCUGUAAAGGAGUCCUUAUUCUUGCCGGGCUCUUAGAGCAAUUACACACAGGAAAGGAUAACAGUGGAUUGCCAUGCUUUUCAGUAAAUGGCUAGCAGGCAGUGGUACAGCCAUUAAGUCCACUGCACACACUGGGCCUUUAUACCUUAUGUUUUCAUUGGGCCAGCAAGGACAAAGAUCCCUCACAAUCCCCCCAAAACUUAUAUUCAAAACUAUUUCUUGCAUGAAACACAUUUCCGCUGGACCUUUGCUACAUCCGUGUCACAUUAAUACGCUUGUAAACGUCAUAGAAGUGUCACUGUUCACUGUGUAUGUCAAAUAAAAUACAAUGUUUUCUUCAGAUUUACAAU